rnacentral:lncRNA from 1 species
GUGGUAACUUGGUGUCAUGAUGUCUUGGUUGCUGGGUGCAGAUCAACAAGCUGACAGUGAAAGGGGAUCCCAGAGGAUCGAAGAGGAUCUGCCUCUGCCAUUUGCAGCUGCUUUGCUGCCCAGACCUCCUCGAGAGACCCCGGCCAUCUCCCAAACCAGCCUUUCUGACCUUCUCUGUCUCGUCAGGAGCAGUGACCAGGCAUCAAAACGACGCCCAGCCUGCCUGAAGCAAUCUUCUCCCUGAAAUAAGAAUCCUUCACCCAGUGGACAAGAGAAAGCUUUGGUAAGAGGAAUUAAAUUGUAUACUGCUGAAAAUGGAGUUUGAAUCUUUUUUUGCUCAAACUUUCCUGUAGAUGUUCUCCCCCAGUGAUGUGGGUCUGCUGCUACACCUCUGUACAAGGGGAGCAGCUAAGAUGCAGGACUGUGUCCUCAGCUCAGACCAGGGGAGAAGCUGUGCAGGCACCAGACUCUGUUUGACGCUUGGCUUCUUGCUUUGAGGCAAAGAUGUACCAAUGGGUGGGUCUAACCUUGGAACAAAAGAGAGGCAUGUCCAGAAGGAGACUCUAUAAAGAUCUCCCAAAGUCCUGGUAAAGGAGGAGCCCGAGCUUAACAAGCCAGAAAGAACAGAACUGCUGAGACAGUAAAACCUCUGGUAUGAAUCAGCCUCUCAGUGUCUUCUCUGUCCCAGCAGACUGAAUUGUGGGGACAGGUCAGGAACCUUCUAGCCUGGAUAAACUUGUCUUUCCCAGGCCUAUCUAGGCUAUAAAUCCACAGGUUUUUGGUUUUUUUGGACGGACGUGCUAGAGCAUACGUGGGGCUACUGACAGCUGGGACUCUGGGUUUAUCAUCUGUGGCUGAAGCUUCCGCAUUGCUGGGUUAAUGACUCACGGGUGCUUACGUGUGGCCUACGCUCCUCUGAGAGCUGCAGUGCACUGGAUCUGCCCAGGCCUGUCCCAAGGUACUGAAUCAGCAGAACCCCUAAAUAACCUGGUGUUCUCAGCCUCAA